rnacentral:rRNA from 1 species
GAAUAAAGCCUCAGCACUUUGGUUACCCCUUGCCAAUCCUGNGCGAUCUGAAGUUAAGCAGGGUGCGGGUCUAUUUAGUACCAGGAUGGGACACCAUCUGGCAAUUCCAGAUGGUGUANGCU